AAACCUCACAAAUAAUGUUUUGGAGACAGAUGCAUAUGAGCAGAUUGGAAUUUCCCUUUGCUGAGAAGAGCAAGUUUCACUGUCUCCCACUAUGUCAGUUAGUGUCUGACCAUUACAGGCAGAGCAGGUUGAAUGAUUUCUGGAGAGAAAGAAGAACCAAAGGAAGACAUGUUGGCCAUCAGUAAUCACAUCUUCUGUGAAGUUACCUAUCGACCUGCUGAGUGUAUCGAGCCUAUUUACAAACCGUGUGACUUUCUGUCAUCAGUUAAAAGGACAUACAGCUGAAACAAGAUGGUCUGCCUGAAAAGCAUCUAGCCUGGAGCUGUGUUCAUUGUUACUUCACUAUCUGUGAGCCAGCAAGAGACAGUUUUACAAAUUUCUAACAUACGGCACAAAAUGAUAUUCAACAGAAACUUAUCUUUCCUAGUUUUAGAUUCCCGGCUUUGACCAAAUUAGUAAGAUCUGACAAAUUUUGAAUUGCUGCAUGCAUGUACCUCUGUAUAUCUCUGAAAUUUGAUCCUGUAAUCUUUGCUCUAAGGAAAAAGAGAUUAAAGUUUAUUGACAAACACA